rnacentral:rRNA from 1 species
GACAGAGGGUGCGAGCGUUAAUCGGAAUUACUGGGCGUAAAGGGUGCGUAGGCGGUUUAAUAAGUUAGAUGUGAAAGCCCUGGGCUUAACCUAGGAAUUGCAUUUGAUACUGUUAGGCUAGAGUGCAGUAGAGGGGAGUGGAAUUUCCGGAGUAGCGGUGAAAUGCGUAGAUAUCGGAAGGAACACCAGUGGCGAAGGCGACUCUCUGGACUGUUACUGACGCUGAGGCGCGAAAGCGUGGGGAGCAAACAGG